AUUGAACGCUGGCGGCAGGCCUAACACAUGCAAGUCGAGCGAGCGGCGGACGGGUGAGUAAUGUCUGGGAAACUGCCGGUUGGAGGGGGAUAACUACUGGAAACGGUUGCUAAUACCGCAUACCAUCAGAUGUGCCCAGAGGGGAUUAGCUAGUAGGGGGGGUAACGGCUCACCUAGGCGACGAUCCCUAGCUGGUCUGAGAGGAUGACCCGCCACACUGGAACUGAGACACGGUCCAGACUCCUACGGGAGGCAGCAGUGGGGAAUCUUGCACAAUGGGCGAAAGCCUGAUGCAGCCAUGCCGCGUGUGUGAAGAAGGCCUUCGGGUUGUAAAGCACUGUCAGCAGGGAGGCGUUAUCCGAAGAGGAAGCACCGGCUAACUCCGUGCCAGCAGCCGCGGUAAUAC
rnacentral:rRNA from 1 species